rnacentral:rRNA from 1 species
CCUACGGGAGGCAGCAGUGGGGAAUAUUGCGCAAUGGGCGAAAGCCUGACGCAGCGACGCCGCGUGAGGGAUGAAGGUCUUCGGAUCGUAAACCUCUGUCAGCAGGGAAGAACGGUCACUGUGCUAAUCAGCAGUGAAUUGACGGUACCUGCAAAGGAAGCACCGGCUAACUCCGUGCCAGCAGCCGCGGUAAUACGGAGGGUGCGAGCGUUAAUCGGAAUUACUGGGCGUAACGCGCCCGUAGGCGGUAUGUCAAGUCAAGGGUGAAAUCCCCGCGCUCAACGUGGGAACCGCCUUUGAAACUGGCAAACUGGAGUGUGGGAGAGGAUAGUGGAAUUCCAGGUGUAGGAGUGAAAUGCGUAGAUAUCUGGAGGAACAUCAGUGGCGAAGGCGACUAUCUGGCACAUAACUGACGCUGAGGAGCGAAAGCGUGGGUAGCAAACAGGAUUAGAUACCCGUGUAGUC